UACUAAACAUAUUUAAUUUUCAUAUUUAAAUGCACUAUCUUUUGGCUUGUUUUCCGGGUCCAGAUCCCUUUACCAUAUUCCGCUCGCUCAUCACCGAAGACAUGGCGUACAUCAUAAUACGCGAAUCAAAUCAGAAAGGCAGGGAAGUGAACGCUGCAUGGCAUUUGGCAAUUCCAACUUCACUUUGAAAGAGUUGGAUGCUUUUUUGUCUAUUAUUUUGAAUGCUGAACUCACUUUAUCGAAUAGUGAACUUCUUGAUGAUAUUUCGCAAAUGUUGCAGUCUACCUUGGCAGCAGCUUACACUUCGCAUAAUGCAGUGACUGUUGAUGAUAAAGAUAUGGUGGUUGUGCGACUCAAAAUCAUUUUAUCUCGUCAAAGUAAUAAUUUACUCUGGGAAAUUAUGUGACCAGACCCGAGAGGUGAAUCAUGGUCAGAAUAUUGUGCUUCAACUUUCGGAAAGAUAUUUGAAUACACAUUUGAAAACUGCAUAUGGUGAAACAGUUCGCUCGAAUAAGACAUGUGUGCUUCGGAAAUUCCAAAAAAUCAUACGCGUCCUUUUAACAGCACAUUGUUCGGCUUCAACAAAGGCGAUAUAGUACUAUGUUUAUAUGUGCCCAAGAAGAACAAAACGACAAUUUUGCUGUCGAUAUAACAUUAUACUUGCUGUGUGCACAUGCAAACUAAAAAGAAGAAGCCGUUUGCUACAUGGAUUACGACUCCAACAAAUCGAGAGUUGAUACAAUGGACCAGAUGCUUGACACAUAUACAUGGAAGCGCUCAAUCAAUCGCUGGAUAUUGGCCAUGUUUUAUAAUAUGGUGGACAUUUCUGCAUUAGCUACAUUUAUUUCAUACAACGAGAUGAAGUCAAUAAAAGAAAAAAAGAAACUGACAAAACAAUUGGCACUUCCAAACAUAGAAGAAUGAGCGCUGAAAAACCUUAUAACUGCAUAUCCAAGGAUGUGGAACGCAAUGGAAGCAUUUGAUGUAAUGAUGUUAUCAAUACCGACAGAAGGAACUGCGCCGUCGUUUGCGUCUAGAACGAACAGACCGUCCUGUUGCCUAUGUCGUUCUGAGUUCGGACGGCAGCGGAAAACAAGGGCCUAUUGCAAUUCCUGUAACAAUUCAGUUUGUGCAGAGCAUUCAACACUAAUGCAUCGAUGCUACACCUGCACAGACAAUAGAUUUUUAGACUCAUGGAUUCGAACCCAGGCGUUCAGCGUCAUAGGCGGACAUGCUAGCCUCUUCGCUACGGUGGUCUCCGUAUGUAUAAUUAGUAAAUAUUAAUAAAUAAAAACAAGUAAGAGCGUGCUAAGUUCAGCCAGGCCGAAUCUUAUAUACCCUCCACCAUG